UUUAAAAAAAAAUUGCAGAAUCUCAUAAUUUUUUCGGAAAGUUUACAAAUUUAUGUUGGGCUGCAUGCAAAGCUAUCCUGGGCGACUUGCUGUCUGCAGGCCCCAGGUUGGGCAAGCUUACUCUAGAGUCAGCAAGGACUCAGAUGUCAAAGAUUUAGAACACAGAAAAUAAAAGACAUGAUUAAUACAGCAUUCUGACAGUGUUUCCUCUUUUUAGUUUAUUUCACCUAUUUGAUAUUUGAUAGCACCAUUCCUGUCCUUCGCGGCCUCCCUGCUGUUCUUAAUUUAACAAUCCUGUUUGUCCUCUCCAUUCAUCGUUUUAUGAGUUCAGAAAGUUUCCUUCUCCAGAUUUGUAGAUGUAAAGUUCUCCUAGAUCAUCUUGAGGACCUGAAGUUGACAAUUUCCAAAUUGUUCUUGUGUUUCUUAUAGUAAGUAGUAUUUUCAAAGACCUUUGUUCUAACCGCUGGGAACGUGCUUCUUAACAUUAACCGCAUUAUCUUUUAGCAGGUCUGGUGAUUUUCUGUUUGGUCUUCCUGCUGGAGCGAGGUCUGCACCUGUGUCAGUCCCUGUCUGUGUCUGGAUGGCUCACUGUCCAAAUCUUCAGGCUCACAUAAAAGGAGAAAGGCAAGAAUGGAUACAUUUUAGAUGCCUUUAAAGCCGUGGGAUAGGGGUGAACUUGGAAAGCACCGAGAAGUCCUGAGAAGCCAGGACUUGAAAAUUAGAAAGAGGAAGAGAAACUCACAGAUGACGCUGAGGCUGAGAAGGAGCAGCCCAUCAAGCACUAUAGGAGACACUGAGUGUGAAAAACACAUUUGAAGUGUUUUUUUUCUAUUCUCUUAUCAAAAAUAAUCAACACAGAAGAAUUCUGUGACCCAGUAUGUGAGGAUUUCUUCCUACCAGCAAGCAUGGAAUCAACUCUGUAGCAGUUAUCAACAGGUUGUGCUCCAAUCCAACUCCAUUCUGACCAUGUCUAUCUGGAGGUAGCAUCAGAUCCCACCGUUUGAGGGCUCCGUCCUUAAGCCUGCCCCUUGUUUUCAAUGUCUGUCAAAAGCCCAGGUUGGGAUGGGACUGAGUCACCCAUCUAAUCCUGCUGUGGUCUUUCAGGUGACCAGCCCCCUUCCUGAAGCUACGUAGGGGCUGCCAGCCAUUAGUCAACUCAUGAGCAUCCAAAAAGAUAUCACUUUGGAGACUCCAGGGAUUUUAGGAUUUAUAUGCCAGGAAGUGGGACAAAGACCAAAUAUAUGCUUCACAAUAGCACAGAGACCAAAAGAGCAGGUGUCCUAAAGACCCAGAGAAGAAAGUCUUUAGAGGAGGCAACAGUCAUCAAGACUGGGACACUGACCCCUGGAUUUAGCAACAAACAGGUCCGGUGUCUGGACAAGAGCAGACUGAGAAGACUGGGAAGAAUGAAGGCCUAGUCAGGGUGGGUUUAUGGGAUGAUGGAAGGAGAUAAGUGGAGUGGGCAGCUGUCAGUCAUAACUAGCCUCAGGAAUGCAGCUGAGGGAAGCAAAGAAAAGACACGACAGUGGGAAGCGCUCACAGGAUCGGGAGGGUUUGUUGUUAUUGUACUGUCAUUAUUGCUGUGAGGAAGAGAGCGCUUGCUGUCCAUUUAUUCAGCGGGGAGGGAGAAGCCAAUGACAGGACAGAUCGAAGGAUGUUGUCCUGGAAACAGAGAGGCAGGCCAACUGGGGAUUUCACAGGACGAUGUGCGGGACUUCUGAUGCUUCUUUUUUUCUUAGGAAAAUUCAGAAUAAGGACAAGAGCUGAGAGUGAAAGACGGAAGGGUCUCUCUGUGUGUCCCGCAGGGCCUAUCCUAUUCCUCCAGCCCCGGGAAGCCAAACCUUGCCACGGCCCCUCCGCCUUCAGGACUGUUUCUUUGCUUCUCCCUUUCCUGAAAAUCAAGUCUUUAUGGGUUGAGUCUUUACCACUUGGUCAUUUCCAGAAAGUCCCCUUCUUGCUAAUUUGCAAAUGGCUGCUGUCUACUUUAUGUGUUAACAGGAUUUAUGCUUGAUGUGGCAAAUAUCUUUCUGUCCUGUGCUGUCAUGAUGUGUCUUUAGAGGAAGACUUCAUUCAACUCAAUAUCCCAAAUCAGAAAGUUUUCAUUGAGUGCCAUGGAUGGGCCCCACACUUCUAGCCCAGAGUCCCAGCUAACCGAAGGUUCCCCCACCCAGCACCAUCAGGUCUUUUAUGCAGCACAGGUAAAUGCCCCUGGGAGCAGCAGCUGUCACUGACAUUCUCUCCUGCACUUUACCACUCAGCCAACACAUGCCCUUGACACCUGGGUGUCAGGAACAGUCACAGUAGCCCCCAUUGCGCUUGGAGGGUCAUUGCUUUGAGGCAAAGAAAAAAGGAGGGAAAGAAAAAUAAAGUUGGAUGACGUCUCCCCACUUUGCUCCUGGUUAUUUUGCAGGUAGAAGGCUUCACUUUAUAUUUUAAAGAAAAGUAAAGCUUUAACUGCUUCCUAUGUUGAAACCUCUAUGACAAAUUUAGUCAGAGAUUUAAAAAGCACCAUUAAAAAAAUAGACUAUAGAGAUGUGAUACCUGUCUGUACCUACUUACCACUGCUGGCUACCGUCCAGAAAACAGGAAACCAUGUCAAACUACAUUUUUAGAAAAGGCUAUCCUGGAUAAUAUAUAAUAUAUCCUUUUAUUCAUUAUUGAGACCCAAAGGUUAAGGUGUUUGAGAAUGCUUCUUUUAAGUAAUUGAGCAAGAUGGAGGGAGAGAAAGAAAGAGAGGAGAAAAUAUAAGUUAAUGUGGUUGAUUGGGGCAAAAACUUUCUAGAAGCUCUGCAAAGAAAAAAUAUGAAGAUAAUAAAAUAGCUAUUGGAAAAUAAAUUCAUUUUGAUUGAUUAGAAAUUACCUAAUUUGCUAAUAAAAUAGCUACACUGUAGCUACCAUUAUGAUUGAUACUGUUAAAAGGAAAUUCUUAACCUGUAGGCACUAUUAUUACCAGUUAAAGGUUUUUGUGUGUGUGUGUGUUUUUAAGUCAAAUAACAAAAGCAUGGGAGAAGCAAAUUAAAGUACCAGAAAAAGGAAAAUCCAA